GGUUGUCGUCAGCUCGUGUCGUGAGAUGUUGGGUUAAGUCCCGCAACGAGCGCAACCCUUAUUGUUAGUUGCCAUCAUUCAGUUGGGCACUCUAGCAAGACUGCCGGUGACAAACCGGAGGAAGGUGGGGAUGACGUCAAAUCAUCAUGCCCCUUAUGACCUGGGCUACACACGUGCUACAAUGGGAAGUACAACGAGUUGCGAAGUCGCGAGGCUAAGCUAAUCUCUUAAAGCUUCUCUCAGUUCGGAUUGCAGGCUGCAACUCGCCUGCAUGAAGCCGGAAUCGCUAGUAAUCGCGGAUCAGCACGCCGCGGUGAAUACGUUCCCGGGCCUUGUACACACCGCCCGUCACACCACGAGAGUUUGUAACACCCGAAGUCGGUGAGGUAACCUUUUGGAGCCAGCCGCCUAAGGUGGGAUAGAUGAUUGGGGUGAAGUCGUAACAAGGUAGCCGUAUCGGAAGGUGCGGCUGGAUCACCUCCUUUCUAAGGAA
rnacentral:rRNA from 1 species